GCCCGCUCAGAAACUCAAAGGAAUUGACGGGCCGCACAAGCGGUGGAGCAUGUGGUUAAUUCGAAGCAACGCGAAGAACCUUACCAGGCCUUGACAUGCAGAGAACUUUCCAGAGAUGGAUUGGUGCCUUCGGGAACUCUGACACAGGUGCUGCAUGGCUGUCGUCAGCCCGUGUCGUGAGAUGUUGGGUUAAGUCCCGUAACGAGCGCAACCCUUGUCCUUAGCUACCAGCACGUUAUGGUGGGCACUCUAAGGAGACUGCCGGUGACAAACCGGAGGAAGGUGGGGAUGACGUCAAGUCAUCAUGGCCCUUACGGCCUGGGCUACACACGUGCUACAAUGGUCGGUACAAAGGGUUGCCAAGCCGCGAGGUGGAGCUAAUCCCAUAAAACCGAUCGUAGUCCGGAUCGCAGUCUGCAACUCGACUGCGUGAAGUCGGAAUCGCUAGUAAUCGUGAAUCAGAAUGUCACGGUGAAUACGUUCCCGGGCCUU
rnacentral:rRNA from 1 species